UUUAACUCCCAUGUUAGAACCAACAUUCAAAUGGUUCACAAGAACCAACAAAAAGCACUUGUCAUUGCUCCACACACUCCCGAACUCUCCUCUUUUACUUUCCCCCCACUUUCAUCUCCGCUAAACAUAACACACCCAACAAAAUUCAAUGAAAAUUAAACAACCCCUCUUGAGAAAAACAAUAAAGAUUCAUCCUUUAAACAAUCAAAACAAUAAAGAUUCAACCUUUACACAUAUAAAAGAAGAAAGAUUCAAACUUUCUACAUUUAACAAUGAGCCCGCCUCAACCAGAAAAUACCCACCAAAAAAUGAGGAGAAAAUGCUCAAAUUUAAUGCCUUUAUGUGUUCUUGUUGUGGUGAUUGCAGAGAUUAUGUUUCUGGGUCGAGUCAACGUUGCUCACAAGAACUCUUUGGUUAAUUCAUGGGCUGGCUCGUUAUAUCAGUUUAGUACAUUGCCUUGGUCUUUAAUGAGCUAUGGUUUUGAUGAUGAUGAUAAUCGAGUCGGGUCGGGUCAGGUCGGUGGCAUUGAGGAGUACUCAGUGCCUGAUGAAUGUGAGGAAUGGUUGGAGAAACAUGAUUUUGUGGCUUAUUCUAGGGAUUUUGAAAAAGAACCCGUUUAUGUUUCCGGGUCGAAUGAGGACAUGAAAUCUUGUGCGGUGGGAUGUAAACUUGGAUUUAUUCGUGACAAGAAGGCUGACGCUACGUUUGGAGCUGCAAAAACAGAUAAGGGACCCUUUGUACUUCGAUCAAUGGAGCCAGUUAGUUACUAUCCGGAGAACAAUAUCGAUUACGCAAGACGGAGGGGAUAUGCCUAUAUUAUGACAACUAGUCUCUCGUCAGAUAUUCCUGCUGGAUAUUUUUCUUGGGCUGAGUAUGACAUUAUGGCUCCUUUGCAACCUAAGACCGAGAAUGCUCUGGCUGCUGCUUUCAUCUCUAAUUGUGUUGCUCACAACUUACGCUUGCAAGCUCUUGAAGGUCUUAAGGCGGCAAACAUUACAGUUGAUUCUUAUGGUGCAUGUUACCGAACCCGUGACGGAGACGUGAACAAAGUGGAUACUCUGAAGCGCUACAAAUUUAGCUUGGCGUUUGAGAAUUCCAACGAAGAAGAUUAUGUUACUGAAAAAUACUUUCAGUCUCUUGUUGCUGGAGCUAUUCCCGUAGUUGUUGGUGCUCCAAAUAUCCAAGACUUUGCGCCUUUGCCUGGUUCAGUUUUACAUAUCAAAGAGGUUAAACACGUCGAACCAGUUGCCAAGACCAUGAAAUACCUAGCGGACAACCCUGAUGCAUACAACCAGUCACUUCGAUAUGGCAGCAGUUCACUCAUCAUGCCGCUUGUGCAUUCACAUUGCAACAAUGAUGCGUGAGGAAGAGGAAAAUAAUCUGAACUUGACGGAACGCCCUUGCAAGUGUACCCGAGGCUUAGAAACUGUAUAUCAUGUAUAUGUACGAGAAAGAGGGAGGUUCGAGAUGGAGUCAAUUUUCAUUAGGUUUGUGAGUGUUGUCCAAGCCGGAGUCUACAGGAAACAAAUUCUCUAGAGUCUUUGGAGUAAAGGUAAAAUUUGCCUACUUGAGCCAGGAUACGAUUCAAUUUGGUUUAGUGUUUACCAGCCUACAAGCUCCAUAAACAUAUAAUAACCCGUAACUCUGAUUUUUUUUUUCCAGCAAGUUAUAGAAGGAACACUCGUAAUGCUACAUGAACUAAAAAAUGAACAAAGUUGAACCCUUCAACAUUCUUAAUUUUAAAGAAAUCUCUCACAUGUAUCUUCUUUCAGAUCUGGAAAUUUGACCCUCAAGGCCUUAGAAUCUGCAGUGCUGUUGAAGUUCAAGUCUUUAAAACAUGUUCCUGUUUGGAAGGAGGAAAGACCGAAAAUCCUAAGAGGAACUGAUGAGCUCAAACUGUAUCGGGUCUAUCCU